rnacentral:lncRNA from 1 species
UGAAGAAAAAGAAUGUUGAAGGAAGAAGGUACAGGAGAUGGCACUAGGUGUUUUCACACCACCCACCACAGACUGAUCAUCAGUUUUAAUCAAUCAUUUGGGGGCCUGCAGCCACCUUGCCGACCACACCAGGAAUAGUGUUAUUGUGGAAGACACACUUUCUCCACAAACAAGUAUGGUGCUGAUGUUAAAUCGAUGAUAUUUGCUUGUGUUCCUGCUUCCUAAAGUCCCCAAUUGUGUUUGCAGAAGGCAAAGAAGGGCAACAGGGAACUCUAUAGGGAAGAGGCUGCCUGGGGCAUCAAGUGAGCUAACAGAGUUCACAAAAGCAGACUGUUAUCUUGGUUGAGAUCCAGUGCUCAGCAGCAACUGUGAGGGCAACUGUUCAAGAAGAGUUGGAAACAGGGGUGAGCUGAACUCCACAAUCUUAUCUCAGAUCAAAUGCGAAGUCAGAGUGACACAAGGAACUACAAGAACAUUUAAAUGAGUUAGUCAGCCUCGUUUAUACAUAGCCACCUUCACUAAUUCCAUCCCACCCAAGGACAUGUCUCUACUGAUUCAUGGGGCUGCCCCAUACCUACACCCAUUGUGUCUGGGUGUCAAUGAUGCUUAAGUUGGGCCUUCCUCUGUCUGUAUUUUCCACUGAGUAUGUAGCAUGAACUCUUUAAAUGAAACUCCACUCUCCAAAACAAAACCAAAAAUGAGGAGCUUUGUGAGGUGGCUUGAACUGAAGACAAGUUAGACCAAGGGUCCCAAAGUGAGACCUGAGGCCACUAACGCACAGCCCGAGGGGAUGGUUGUUAGAUAUGCUAAUUCCAGGUACCCUGGGGCAGGGCUCAGCAAUCUGACUUCAACAUCUCAACCUUUCAACCUCACAGACAAGAAAAUACCAAUAAGCAUCGCUUCAGAGUCUUAAGAAUGAAAAUUGAUUUUCUUAAUGUCAAGAUGGUAAAUCCUGUGACAACAAAGGCUGUGGUUGAGAAAGCAAAUGGUGCCUUCUGUAGCUUUCCCUUGAACACUUGUAGUUUGAAUAACAAACAACAGGAAUCCCACCUGCAUGGGAUCUCACCACCAAGUAGACAGUGUGGAUGACACAGUGCAAAUCAGAGGUUACACCUUCCCUCCCCAAGCAAACCACAGAUUCAGAUCUAUACUCAGUCUGCCUCCUUAUGUUCCCCGUAAGGAGAAAAGUGUGAGAUUUCAUGGGCUUGGUGUCGUUUUUAACCAGCUGGGCAUCUAAGUGUGCCAGUUCUGGGAGGCCCUGCCCCCUCGCCCCAGGACAGCACUCAGGAAAGAAGCAGAGAAGUGACAGGUCUCAGAGAGCUGGGGACAAGAGAAGCAUGUAUCCAUCCACCAUGACUGUCUUUGCUCCUAACGGCAUAAUUCUGAGCCUGGAGGAGUCCCUAGGGACUUCCCUCACCUGAGCAGUAUCCAAACAGCACUUCUCGGGACACAAGCUGGGCCCCGCAAGAAAAAUUGUCUUAACUCUCCAAUCUCUGCAUUCCAUCAUCUUUUGAAACUGAUGCUUUUCCAGGAAAGCACUCAGCCACAGGCAAAAACGGCAAGAUAAAGAAGACAGCGGCUUUGCUUGGGAAUGGCCACAGAGCAAGAAUUGAAAGCUGCCAUCCACUCCAGUAGCACAAAAUUAAAUCACAGGAGAGACUGCUCAACACACUAGGAUUGCGUCUCCCGUGCCUCUGUGCCUUCACAAGGACUCUUUGGGCCAUCGCCAUCGCCCAGCAUGGUGCCUGGGGUUGCCGUGUUGCCGGUGUCCUCAGUCGGGCCCCGCGGGCGCCCAUGGCCGUGGCGUGGCUGGAACGCAGCAGCUGCAGCUGGCGCUCCCCCCCCCUCCCCCCGGCUGUACUUGCUGUACGCAGCAAGUCGAAGCGCAGAAGGAUGGCUUGCGGCCGGAACUCUCUCAGCACCGGGUUUCCCCCCUCCCGGCGCGCAGUAGCUCCAGAUGCAGACUCAAAACUUGCCUCCGCAGCCGGCUGGGCCGACUCAUGACCCCUGGGGUCGCCGGCGGCAGCUGCAAACCUGCCCGAAGCACCGGCCAGACACACAGUCACAAGGCUAUUUCUUAAUGUGGAUUUGAUUAAAGAGUUCUUGUGAUGAGAAAUUAUUUUUGUUUCCCUUUUAGUGGACUAUCAUAGUGGAGAGCCAAAUCUGACUACUAAUGGCGAAAGGGCAGUUUGAAGGGUCAACUUCAGUUGCAGGCAGGUUAAUGAAGGAUACAUGGAAAUGGCUUCAGUGUGUGACAAAGUCUGAAGGAUCCACAACUCCAAGAGUACAGACUGUAAUGCUGGCUCAUUGCUCACCUUCUAAAUGACAGCUCUCCUGAGAAAGAAUUACUGGGAAAGCUGUUUAGCACUCAGCCAAGACUCCCGCCAUAUUGUAAUUAGACAGCCUGCAGCGGCCUAGGACAAAGCUGGAGCUUAAUUUUGGAUACCUGCC